CACGUAGGGUGCGAGCGUUGUCCGGAAUUAUUGGGCGUAAAGAGCUCGUAGGCGGUGUGUCGCGUCGGCCGUGAAAACCUGCAGCUUAACUGUGGGCUUGCGGUCGAUACGGGCAUCACUGGAGUUCGGCAGGGGAGACUGGAAUUCCAGGUGUAGCGGUGAAAUGCGUAGAUAUCAGGAGGAACGACCGGUGGCGAAGGCGGAUCUCUGGGCCUGUUCUGACGCUGAGGCGCGAAAGCUAGGGGAGCGAACAGG
rnacentral:rRNA from 1 species